UGAGGAAUAUUGGACAAUGGAUGGAAAUCUGAUCCAGCCAUGCCGCGUGCAGGAAGACGGCCCUAUGGGUUGUAAACUGCUUUUGUACGGGAGCAAUAAGGGUUACGUGUAGCCUGAUGAGAGUACCGUACGAAUAAGGAUCGGCUAACUCCGUGCCAGCAGCCGCGGUAAUACGGAGGAUCCGAGCGUUAUCCGGAUUUAUUGGGUUUAAAGGGUGCGUAGGCGGUUUAUUAAGUCAGCGGUGAAAUUUUCCAGCUCAACUGGGAUACUGCCGUUGAUACUGAUAAGCUAGAAUAUGGUUGCUGUGGGUGGAAUGUGUGGUGUAGCGGUGAAAUGCUUAGAGAUCACACAGAAUAUCGAUUGCGAAGGCAGCUCACAAAGCCAUUAUUGACGCUGAGGCACGAAAGUGUGGGGAUCAAACA
rnacentral:rRNA from 1 species